rnacentral:rRNA from 1 species
AUACGUAGGUGGCAAGCGUUAUCCGGAUUUACUGGGUGUAAAGGGCGUGCAGGCGGGUCUGCAAGUCGGGUGUGAAAUUUCCGGGCUUAACUCGGACGGGUCAUCCGAAACUGCGGAUCUUGAGUACUGGAGAGGAUAGUGGAAUUCCUAGUGUAGCGGUAAAAUGCGUAGAUAUUAGGAGGAACACCAGUGGCGAAGGCGGCUAUCUGGACAGUAACUGACGCUGAGGCGCGAAAGCGUGGGGAGC